ensembl:lncRNA LINC02955 long intergenic non-protein coding RNA 2955
GCACUCUGGACUCCUACGGACCAAGAUGAUCAACUCUGAGGAAGAAAGGCAAUGAGGACGUUGCACAAGACAGUCCCUGAUACCCAGAGUUUACUGCCUAAGAGAGGAUACAUCCUUCAAACCAAUAAUCUGCUAAUAGCAAGAUCCAAUAGCUUCAUGGAUAUUGAAAGAAACUGAGAAUCAAAUUUGCAUACUUCUGAGUCACUUGGAAACAAAAAACAAGUACAGUCUUAGAUUCUGAGGGAACAAAAAUUAAAAAUCACAUUAGGAAGAGAAUUCCUAAUGUAGGAACUCAUCCUGGAAGAUUCUUCAGCAAAAGUACAGACAAUAAUAAUAAUACUCCAUGAAGUUACCAUCGAUAUUGAAUGAAUUAAUGAAUGUAAAAACCUCAAAACCCUGCCUGGCCCAGAGCUUUGGAAUGGGUUUGGAUCUACCACUCAACUGCUUUAUGACUUCAGACCAGUUAUUUAAAUUCCCUGAAGCUCAGUUUCCACAUCUUUGAGUUUUUAUUAAUGACCUGCCGACAUCAUACAGUUCAUGAAAUGCUCUGGAUGUGUACAUGCUGAUGAUACGACCUCAGACCCAGCAAGAGCUCAGUGCAGCCCGGAGAGCUGUGAGCAGUGCCACAGGAGGAGAUGACUGGUGAGUGAAAUAAGCAAGAUAGGAGUUGAAGUGUACAUGAAGCAGAGUCCAAGCCUUCUCCUUCUGGAUGUUCAGCUGGAUCAUCCUGACUGCUCCCACUUUCAUCUUGGCUUUCAAAGGGCUAUAUGGAUGUGCUCUACUUGUUGGAGGAUUGUCCAUCCACUCUUCUUCCUGUACUUACCAGGACAGAACAGCCGCAACUUCUCAGACAGUUCAUUCUUCUUUUCCUCACCUACUACCAUCUAAGAAAGGGUGGGCAGCACCAGCUCAUUAGAACCAUUUGUGUGACUGACUGAAGACAGCUCACCUUGGAACACUGCAGGCCUCCAAAGAAGUCUACAAAUUCCAUCAGUCAGUAACGGCUUGGAGUUCCAAAGCUUAUGACUCAAAGGUGAUCAGAGCAUGGACCUGGGGCUAGUCUGGAUUGGUAACUGCUAAACUUGGAUACAUGGCUUCUGAUGGCCCUGCUGGGGAGACCAUGUGGAGAGAUGGCAUAGAGCCAGAGAUUCACGUUCCAGGAGCCCUGACUGUCUCAUCUCAGGGAAUUGAAUCUCCUUGUGCUCCAGACCCUAUGAGAGGAUGCCAUCCCCUGCUACCAUCUGACUGCAACCUCAGGAGACACCCCAAGCCAGAACUGAGCAGCCAAGCCACUCUCAUAUUCUUGACCCAUAGACAUUGGGAGAUAAAAACUGAUUGUUGUCAAUUUUAGUCAGUACAUUUUAGGGCAAUUUGAUGUCCUAGCAAUAGACUAGUAUAUUUAUCCAUUGCUGCAUCUUCUUCUGCUUAGAUUAUGAUGCAUGUUUUUUAGCUCCAACUAGUAUCUAAACUUGUCAUGGUCUUUGCUUGAAAGUUUGAUUUUUUGCUGCCCUUGAACUUUACCCCUGAUUCCAAUUUACCCAUUUGUUUUGGUUUAGUUUAAGGAGAUUGUAAACAAGUAUGCCUACAAGGGCCAUGCAACAAAUGCUAAAAAGAGAAGUAGACCUGGGCAGGGAGGCAAGGGAGCGGAAAGAUGUGUAGUACGUUCAGCUCAGGUCACGUUCAUCAUCCAGCUCUGGAAGAUGGAUCCAGUGGGCAUGUGUGCCUAAUGAUGCCACAUUAUCUGAUUUUUUUCUCCAAAAGAAAAA